GGGGCCGACCUGGUUUCGACGUGGGUAGCGAAGCGGCACAGGGCAUGCCGAGGCGCCAAGUCCUCGUAAAUCCUUUGGCAAACCAAUAAACGCCAACGACGAGCGUUUCGCUCUCGCGGCUUAAACCCCGCGAGCGCCGCAACAGUCAGCCGAUGGGCUGGGCCUGACCGGGCAACCGGAAGGGCUGCGGUGUAACUUCAAUCGGAUAGCGCCCGGGCCGGGUCACUUGGUCCGGGGGCGAAACCCAAGGUGACUGGAUGUGGGUCGGCCUGUCGACCGGCUAAGCCUGCAUCGAGACCCAAGUAGAUCGACUACGCAUGUAGAACUGUUCGUAGAGGACUUGCGGAC
rnacentral:tmRNA from 1 species